rnacentral:rRNA from 1 species
UACGUAGGGGGCAAGCGUUGUCCGGAAUCAUUGGGCGUAAAGCGCGCGUAGGCGGCCCUGUAAGUCCGUUGUGAAAGUCAAAGGCUCAACCUUUGAAAGCCGAUGGAUACUGCAGGGCUAGAGUCCGGAAGAGGCGAGUGGAAUUCCUGGUGUAGCGGUGGAAUGCGCAGAUAUCUGCAGGAACACCCGUGGCGAAAGCGGCGCGCUGGACCACUACUGACGCUGAGACGCGAAAGCGUGGGGAGCAAACAGG